rnacentral:rRNA from 1 species
UACAGAGGGGGCAAGCGUUGUUCGGAAUUACUGGGCGUAAAGGGCGCGUAGGUGGCCUUCUAAGUCGAACGUGAAAUCCCUGGGCUCAACCCAGGAACUGCGGCCGAUACUGGAAGGCUUGGAUCCGGGAGAGGGAUGCGGAAUUCCAGGUGUAGCGGUGAAAUGCGUAGAUAUCUGGAGGAACACCGGUGGCGAAGGCGGCAUCCUGGACCGGUAUUGACACUGAGGCACGAAGGCCAGGGGAGCAAACGGG